UACGGGGGGGGCAAGCGUUGUUCGGAAUUACUGGGCGUAAAGGGCUCGUAGGCGGCCAACUAAGUCCGACGUGAAAUCCCCAGGCUUAACCUGGGAACUGCGUCGGAUACUGGAUGGCUUGGAUUCGGGAGAGGGAUGCAGAAUUCCAGGUGUAGCGGUGAAAUGCGUAGAUAUCUGGAGGAAUACCGGUGGCGAAGGCGGCAUCCUGGACCGACAUUGACGCUGAUGAGCGAAAGCUAGGGGAGCAAACGGGG
rnacentral:rRNA from 1 species